ACUACUCGAAACUUACGAGCACAUAUGUUUAAUCCAAAUAAGCACAUAAGUGUUUUAUUACUUCUUCCUUAAAACUCGAUAAGAGUUUUUCACCACUAUCUUUUCAAAGGUUACUUUCUAAGGCUUUUCUCACACCUAAGGUUCAUAACCUAAAGCUUUGAUACCAACAUGUGACACCCCCAAAUCCGGGUACUUCAUUCCCAUAAGAUUUGUUGUUCACUGUCUAAACAUUUAUUUUAAACUACCCAAAUAUAAUAAAAUUUAACAAUA
rnacentral:lncRNA from 1 species